GUCUCACCAGUAUAAGUAGUAUAUUUGAUUUCCAAUCAAAUGGUUCUUGUGGGAUCAAGAGUGAGGUA
rnacentral:tRNA from 1 species